GGAGGAGUUGGUAUCUCAGUGGUAGAGGCUAGCUUUGUGUGCAUGAUGUCCUGGGUUCAAUCCCCAGCUUCUCCC